GACGAACGCUGGCGGCGUGCUUAACACAUGCAAGUCGAACGGAAAGGCCCCUUUGGGGGUACUCGAGUGGCGAACGGGGGCGUAACACGUGCGUAACCUGCCCUUGACUUCGGGAUAACUUCAGGAAACUGGGGCUAAUACCGGAUAGGAAUCCUUGCUGCAUGGUGGGGGUUGGAAAGCUUCGGCGGUUUUGGAUGGACUCGCGGGUUAUCAGCUUGUUGGUGGGGUAGUGGCUUACCAAGGCGUUGACGUGUAGCCGGCCUGAGAGGGCGACCGGCCACCUUGGCACUGAGAUACGGCCCCGACUCCUACGGGAGGCCGCUGGGGGGAAUAUUGCCCGAUGGGCGGAAGCCGGAUGCAGCAACGCCGCGGGCGGGAUGACGGCCUUCGGGUUGUAAACCGCUUUCAGAAGGGGCGAAGCUUGUGGUGACGGUACCUGCAGAAGAAGCACCGGCUAACUACGUG
rnacentral:rRNA from 1 species